UUUAUAUGGCCACGCUGUUUUCGACGUUCUUUGGAUCCAGCCGCAUGCUGGCACGAGCAAGUGAAUAUCACCAUGGUGGCAAAUUUGACCAGCUCAGGCACUGUGGUGAAACUUUGAGGGAUUCCUGAGAGGGAGAGCAAGGAAACCGCGUCAAAAAGAGCUUCCGGGCGGCUGUUGAUGAACAUUUGGCAAUUGAGGAAAAUUGGCCUGAAGAUGGCAACCAAGCAGCAGGAAUCAGGCCAUUGGAACGAGACACACGUGGUGAAAAGGACAUGCAGACGUAGUGACAGAGUUGCCGGCUUGACAUUGAGCAAAUCCAAGAGUGAGGCCAAAAAGAGAAGAUUGAGAUGAAUCCCAGAGGAUGAAGCCGAUGUCGUUCAAGUGGUUGCUGAGCUCGGGGUCGUGGAAGGCGAUCAUUUGCGAGAAGACGGUCAGGUACUCUGAAAAGAGGUCACAAAUGACACGGAGAGAGACCUUGAGCAGUCUGUCGAAGAGGAUGACGCGGAGGAGCUGGUAUUCGGUGUCUCUCUCGCGGAUGAUGAGCGGUAGCGUGACGCUGGCCGACAACUCGUUGGCGCUGUUGGAGUGCGCCAGACUUGACUGUCUGUGGCAAGGAGAACAACAACAAACAGUGUGUGGUGCCAUUUCUUGGCCCCUGUGGCAAUUAGGCUGAAAACUAAAAGACUUACCCGUCCUCCAGCAGAGGGAAAUAAGAUUCUCCCGCAACGUCUUUCAGUCUCUGCUGGCAGAGAGAAAGCGUCACCGUGGUGUCGUCUAGCAAGAAACUACGAUCCCUGCCCUGGCCGAACGACUCGCCAUCCUCCAGCACGAAACUUCAUAUGAGCAAGAAAAGAUUGAGAUUAUCCAGUGGUGUGCCGACUAACAAACAAAUGUGGAUGUGCUAUACUUGGGCAGUGUGCAUAUGGGAGGUUUGGACUGGAUGAUCUCCUUGUUGGUCAGCUCCUUCUCGAGGUCACCCCCUGCAAGGCACCACAGGUGGUACACCUCGUUGAUGGCUCGCUCUGAAAGGCAGCCAUGCUCUUCAGCGAGGACCGUGACAAUGUCGUCUAUGCAGCCUGGAAAGGACAUAGACAUCAUGAUGGACAUCAAGCAAACCUAUUCCACACAGUUCAAGCAGCAGAACUCCAAGUGACCACACAUCAGUUUUGGGUCCCGAAGGCCGCGGGGUUUCUUCGUGGGAAGGGCCACUGG